GACGAACGCUGGCGGCGUGCCUAAUACAUGCAAGUCGAACGAGAGCGACCGGUGCUUGCCCUGGUCAAUCUAGUGGCGAACGGGUGAGUAACACGUGGGUAACCUGCCCAUCAGAGGGGGAUAACAUCCGGAAACGGAUGCUAAAACCGCAUAGGUCUUCGAGCCGCAUGGCUUGAAGAGGGAAAGAGGCGCAAGCUUCUGCUGAUGGAUGGACCCGCGGUGCAUUAGCUAGUUGGUGAGGUAACGGCUCACCAAGGCCGUGAUGCAUAGCCGACCUGAGAGGGUGAUCGGCCACAUUGGGACUGAGACACGGCCCAAACUCCUACGGGAGGCAGCAGUAGGGAAUCUUCCGCAAUGGACGCAAGUCUGACGGAGCAACGCCGCGUGAGUGAAGAAGGUUUUCGGAUCGUAAAACUCUGUUGUUAGAGAAGAACAAGUGCUAGAGUAACUGUUAGCGCCUUGACGGUAUCUAACCAGAAAGCCACGGCUAACUACGUG
rnacentral:rRNA from 1 species